rnacentral:rRNA from 1 species
GACGAACGCUGGCGGCGUGCUUAACACAUGCAAGUCGAACGGAAAGGCCCUGCUUUUGUGGGGUUCUCGAGUGGCGAACGGGUGAGUAGCACGUGAGUAACCUGCCCUUGACUUUGGGAUAACUUCAGGAAACUGGGGCUAAUACCGGAUAGGAGCUCCUGCUGCAUGGUGGGGGUUGGAAAGUUUCGGCGGUUGGGGAUGGACUCGCGGCUUAUCAGCUUGUUGGUGGGGUAGUGGCUUACCAAGGCUUUGACGGGUAGCCGGCCUGAGAGGGUGACCGGCCACAUUGGGACUGAGAUACGGCCCAGACUCCUACGGGAGGCAGCAGUGGGGAAUAUUGCACAAUGGGCGGAAGCCUGAUGCAGCAACGCCGCGUGCGGGAUGACGGCCUUCGGGUUGUAAACCGCUUUCGCCUGUGACGAAGCGUGCGUGACGGUAAUGGGUAAAGAAGCACCGGCUAACUACGUG